GAGUUUGAUCGUGGCUCAGAGCGAACGCUGGCGGCAGGCUUAACACAUGCAAGUCGAACGGUCGUAGCAAUACGGCAGUGGCAGACGGGUGAGUAACACGUGGGAAUGUACCUUUCGGUUCGGAAUAACUCAGGGAAACUUGAGCUAAUACCGGAUACGCCCUUACGGGGAAAGAUUCAUCGCCGAGAGAUCAGCCCGCGUCCGAUUAGCUAGUUGGUGGGGUAAUGGCCCACCAAGGCUCCGAUCGGUAGCUGGUCUGAGAGGAUGAUCAGCCACACUGGGACUGAGACACGGCCCAGACUCCUACGGGAGGCAGCAGUGGGGAAUAUUGGACAAUGGGCGCAAGCCUGAUCCAGCCAUGCCGCGUGAGUGAUGAAGGCCCUAGGGUUGUAAAGCUCUUUCGGCGGGGAAGAUAAUGACGGUACCCGCAGAAGAAGCCCCGGCUAACUUCGUGCCAGCCGCCGCCGUAA
rnacentral:rRNA from 1 species